CCAAUCAGAACCGGUGUUGUAAGUUGCCUCCUUCGAAAAAGGAAGUCAAGUAGGCUAACAAAACAAACACACCCAAGCAAAGCAAAAAAGAGAAAUAUAACAGAAAAAUAAUAAACAAAAGGAAAGAAAGAAGAGGAAAAACAAACCAUAUUACACUCACAUCACACAGUUUCAUGCAUCACUGACGUUUACUGUGUGAGACGGGGGGAAAACAAGAUGUAUGUUGUAAGACUCAUAACAUAACUUGACAUAUUCAGGGAUUACAUCGUAAAAAGAAGAAUAAUAAUAACAAUCAAGGGAUUUGAAUUGAAAAAUUCCGACGGAGACUAAAAACGACGACAGCAUCGAGGGGAAAAAAUUAUAUUUAUAUUUCUUUUAAUUGUUAUUACCAUAAGGAAAGAGAGAAGUACACAAGAUGUCGACUUGAACAAGGCAAGGUACAUUGGAAAAAAAAUAUGUCUUCGAAGAGUGGGGUGUCGUCUCCGGCCAGUGGCGACCAGGAUUACAACAGAGUUGGUGGCGGUGGCGUGGAAGAUGAUGACAGCAGGCGACGCAAAAACCCCAUACUGCAUGUUAUUGUGGUGGGGUUUCAUCACAAGAAGGGCUGCCAGGUUGAAUAUUCCUACCCACCUCUGAUUGAAGGUAACUCAGUGGACAGUCAUGAACUACCCGAUGAGUGGCGCCACCUACCAUCUCUUGCUCUCCCUGAUGGAGCACACAAUUAUACUAAAGAUACCAUAUUCUUUCAUCUCCCAUCCAGAGAUGGUGAAUACAGUACUGUAUAUGGUGUGUCUUGCUACCAGCAGAUGGACUCAAAGGACCUGAUCACCAGAUCGAAGGAAGUCACCAGAAACACUGUACAGAAAAGCGUGUGUGUUCUUAGCAAACUGCCCUUUUAUGGAUUAAUCCAGACCAAACUGGAAUUAAUUACUCAUGCCUACUUUGAUGAGAGAGACUUCAGUAAAGUGGAACUGCUCAUUGACACAUACCGCAACCUCAGUACAUUGCUGACAGACAGCCAGACUGACAGCACCAAAAUCUACCUCGGUCUUCCUGCUCGGGACCUCGUUAUACUUUAUCGUCACAAGAUCCUCAUUUUAUUUAAACUCCUUCUUCUGGAACGACGGGUACUAUUUACAGGGAAACCAGUCCAAGAGCUGUGUCAAACUAUGUUAGGUGUCAUGUCACUCUUUCCAGGUUUAAUAGAAUAUGGCCUGAAGGAAUCUGCCUGCUAUUCCCCUCACAGACAAAUCUCACCAACAUUAAAAUUUCACCAAAUGGAAUCCGACGACGGAUUCCUAGAGGUCAGCUACCACAAAAAUACCAACUGUGAUAUUCCCAUCCCCCCCAGACCACCUUCAAGAACCACGAGUUUAGCAUCCGAGCCAGAGAAUCAGACGAUAGUCCGUGACGAGAAUGACGAGCUAGAUUUACCGUGCAGUCCAUUCAGAUCAGCGCCACUACCCUCAUCAGACACAUUCCCUACAACUGCAAUGUCUCUGCCACGCAGUACCGAAGCUGGAUCUCAGAAAGACAUGACCAUCACAAAAGACACCAAUGCUUCACACUCAAGCUCUGUGUCAACUGUUUCAUCUGUGACAAAAAUGGAACUUGAUGCAACAGAGAAAGAUUUGCUAAAUAACAACAAUCAGAACUGUAGAAUUUCCUCCCAUGCUGAUGGAUCUUCAUCUCCUGUCAUCAGUAGGGCUGAAUUACAUAACACAACAAAGACCACUCUAGGUCACAUGGUUGCAGAAGAUGAUUUGCUCAAAGAUCAAGGGAAGACUCGCUCUUCAGAGAGACGCCUCAAGGUAGACUUGGAGAUUGACGAAAAUGAAACCUUAUCUGAAGACCUGAAACGAAGUGAGAGUAUUGAAGAACUGGACUCUCCAGAGUCAAUCAGUAAAAUUGAUCGAGAGGAUUGCUUCUCAUGGGAGGAAGACCGUAUUGUACUUGAAAUAAAUGAUGAACAUGAUUCAAAGAGUGAUUGCGAAAGGUCUCCAUGCCUAGUGUCAAGCAAUUCCACUGAUCCAUCAACUGCUACAACCACCACUUCCACCACCAAUGGCGUCUGUGAUAAAAAUGGCAGGCCACAUAAGAUUGAGGCUAUUUCUGAGCUCCCUGGUGGCACAGCUGGACUAAUACAUCCCACUGCUGACAAUUCCUGUGAGAUGCCAUUGAAAAAUUCAUCAACUACGCUGACACAAUCCAAAGAAGACACUGCUGACGAUCCAUUUCUCCCAUCUGAAGAUUCCCACCAGGGGUCAAAUAAAAAACCCUCAUCUUUGAAUAUUGAAAGCAAUUCCUUAGAGGAUGGUAUAGCCAUGACAACAACACUUCAAGCAGAUGAAUAUGGUCUCCCUUUGGCAAUAUUUUCCAAGGGCUGCCUGUGUCAUCCCUAUCUCUCGCUGCAGUUCUUUGAUCUCCUUGAAGAUGUAAAUGUGCGGGGUUUCGUAAUUGGUGCCACAAAUAUAUUGUUUAAACAGCGCAAACACCUCACUGAUGUCGUCGUAGAGGUAAACGAUGGACGAAUCGACUUCCAUGACAAUGAAUUGAAGAAACAGCUGAAUCUAACAACAACAGAUUUGAGGUUUGCAGACUACCUCGUGAAAAUUGUCACCGAAAAUAAAACCCUUUUCCUUGAUGGUACAGAGUGGGAAGGAGGAGACGAAUGGGUGAGACUACAGUUCAAGGAAUACAUCUUGUCCCUGCUCGCCAGCACGCAUAAUGGAGACAUCCAUUCCAAGGGCAUUUGAAUAUGAGUGAUCUUCGUGUGCGGUUGUCACACACCAUGCAGAGCACAGAGAAGGGUAAGAAACUAAAUGCUGCUGUGUCCCAAACCGGGAAAUAUGUUGUACAGACUGGCAAAGUAUUUGGUGGCGCCAUCACCUCUGCUAAGUCAGCCAUGAGCUCAUGGUUCAGCAGUUUUA
rnacentral:misc_RNA from 1 species